rnacentral:rRNA from 1 species
AGAGUUUGAUCCUGGCUCAGGAUGAACGCUAGCUACAGGCUUAACACAUGCAAGUCGAGGGGAAACGACAUCGAAAGCUUGCUUUUGAUGGGCGUCGACCGGCGCACGGGUGAGUAACGCGUAUCCAACCUGCCCACCACUUGGGGAUAACCUUGCGAAAGUAAGACUAAUACCCGAUGACGUCUCUAGAAGACAUCUGAAAGAGAUUAAAGAUUUAUCGGUGAUGGAUGGGGAUGCGUCUGAUUAGCUUGUUGGCGGGGUAACGGCCACAAGGCGACGAUCAGUAGGGGUUCUGAGAGGAAGGUCCCCCAAUUGGAACUGAGACACGGUCCAAAUCCUAGGGAGGCA